rnacentral:rRNA from 1 species
GACGUAGGGCGCGAGCGUUGUCCGGAUUUAUUGGGCGUAAAGAGCUCGUAGGCGGCUUGUCGCGUCGGCUGUGAAAACCCGCGGCUCAACUGUGGGCGGGCAGCUGAUACGGGCAGGCUGGAGUUCGGUAGGGGAGACUGGAAUUCCUGGUGUAGCGGUGAAAUGCGCAGAUAUCAGGAGGAACACCGGUGGCGAAGGCGGGUCGCUGGGCCGAUACUGACGCUGAGGAGCGAAAGCGUGGGGAGCGAACAGG